rnacentral:tRNA from 1 species
UAUAUUAAAGUAUAAAUAAGGAAAGAGA